rnacentral:rRNA from 1 species
CCUACGGGAGGCAGCAGUGAGGAAUAUUGGUCAAUGGGCGCAAGCCUGAACCAGCCAAGUAGCGUGAAGGAUGACUGCCCUACGGGUUGUAAACUUCUUUUAUAAAGGAAUAAAGUGAGGCACGUGUGCCUUUUUGUAUGUACUUUAUGAAUAAGGAUCGGCUAACUCCGUGCCAGCAGCCGCGGUAAUACGGAGGAUCCGGGCGUUAUCCGGAUUUAUUGGGUUUAAAGGGAGCGUAGAUGGGUUGUUAAGUCAGUUGUGAAAGUUUGCGGCGCAACCGUAAAAUUGCAAUUGAUACUGGCAGUCUUGAGUACAGUUGAGGUAGGAGGAAUUCGUGGUGUAGCGGUGAAAUGCUUAGAUAUCACGAAGAAAUCCGAUUGCGAAGGCAGCCUACUAAAAUGCCACCGACAGCGAUGCCUGAAAGUGUGGGUAUCAAACAGGAUUAGAUACCCUGGUAGUC